UUUUUCUUCUCAACUUAAUUCCAUUGCGUACAAUUAAUCUAAUUAAGUUUUGCGAAGUUCUCAUUUACGCGGGAGCAACGUGCGCGAGAGCAUCCGCGCAUGCGCUUUGAAAACCAGGACCGUUGGUCUGGGAAAGGACACUUGAGAGGACUGACUGACUUGUUUCCAAAGCUCGUUAAAAGGAUGACAUUGAUGCAGCUCCUGAACUUGCCAUCAAAGGACUCUGUAUCUAUCUUAAUGAGGACCCUAAAGAUCUCAUUCAGGAGUAUGUGGACAUGGAAGAAGAUCUUUUACAGAGUGCCAUUGAGAAGACCACCAUGGGCAUCUUCGUGAUAAAGGACGCUGCAGGCAAUGAAGCGCAUGAUGUGGGAAUUGUGCUAGAGGGUGUGACCGUGCUUCAGGACCUUGACAGCGUGGCUUUUGCAACGUCAAUGUUGUUCGGUCUAAUUUAUACUCUUAAAGGGAUAGUUCACCCAAAAAUGCGUGAACUAUUACGCAGGUGCGUAACGCGUCAAGGCACAUAGAAAUAUAUACAUAGAUGCCUCAUUAGCGACGGUUUCUAUGGGCUGCGAUACGUAAGAAUCUGUGUAUAUAUAUAUCUAUGUUCCAGAGUCUUUGACGCGUCACACGCCGGAUGUUGUGGAUGAGCUCAGGAGAGUUGGACAUUGCCUGUAUCAGAGGUAAAAAAUGAUAUAAAUGCUGUUCAGUUUCUCACACAAACCGAUCGUUUCGUGUCUUAGGACAUCAAUGUAUCGUCACAAGCUGCAAGGUUUAAUUUGAAUUUGUCUGUGCAUGUUUUUAUUUCUCUCAAAGAUUCUGUGCCCAUUGACUGGCAUUAUAUGACUUGACAGACUGCAAAAAAAACUGUUAAAAAUCUUUGUUUGUGUUCUACUGAAGAAACAAAGUCACCUACAUCUUGGAUGCCCUGGGGGUAUGCAGAUUAACAUCAAAUUUUUAUUUUUGGGUCAACUAUCCCUUUAACCUGCAGUGCCCCACGAAGUUGCAUUUUACUUUUGAAAUUCUGCAAAAACUCAUCAUGGAGUUGGAUGGAGGGGAACUCUCUAUCAAGGCCCAAAAUUUCAAAUCUAAACUCCACCAGUGGGAUGGACCGCUUUUUGAAUAACUGCUGAGACUAUAAAUGAUAAACCCCAGAACAAGUCCAACAGCCUUCAUGCAAGACACCACCGCAGAGCGCAAACUGAUCUCAUCAUUGUUUUGACUGUUCCCCUUUGCCUUCUUUUGUUUCUUAAUCCCUUUUUGUCUGAAUUUGGCCCUCCUUUGGACUGGCUCAAAAGUUGAUUGAUUAGAGAGCUGAAUCUUUGACACAUGGAUGAUCUAGCAUAAAUAAGAUACAUUGUUUAUAGUUUGGGUAAGGGUCAGAUACUGUAUGUCAACAUUAUUUUUACAUUUCAGUUAUUAAAACAUUAAUUAUAUUGGUGCAUAUAUAUGUUAUGCAUACAACAGUAAUUGUCUUUGUUUUUAUACUAGUCUUGUUAAAACUAAUAUGUAGUUUUAUUACAUUUAAUCAUCAGAGAAGUUAUUCAUGCAAAGUUUUUGAAAGCAAAAUGUUGUUUAGACAUGUCAACUUACCUGUGUCUAUCUAGUCAUGAAGAUGCAUAUAUAUAUAUAUAUAUAUAUAUAUAUAUAUAUAUAUAUAUAAUGUAAUUUCAGCAGGCAACUAUUUUUACAGCUAACGUUACAUGAGAGUAAACUGGGCCAAAAUACAAAAAGUAAGUUAAACAUUCAAUGUGAUGGAUAUAUUAGGCUAUUUGAAGAUGUAUGUGUCAUGUAAUGAGCAAAUGGUUAUUUUCAAGUAUAUACAUCCUGUAAAUUAUGUAAGUUAAGUUGACGGUGAC